UACGUAGGGUGCAAGCGUUGUCCGGAAUUAUUGGGCGUAAAGAGCUCGUAGGCGGUUUGUUGCGUCGACUGUGAAAACCCGCGGCUCAACCGUGUGGUCUGCAGUCGAUACGGGCAGGCUAGAGUUCGGUAGGGGAGACUGGAAUUCCUGGUGUAGCGGUGAAAUGCGCAGAUAUCAGGAGGAACACCGGUGGCGAAGGCGGGUCUCUGGGCCGAUACUGACACUGAGGAGCGAAAGCCAGGGGAGCAAACGGG
rnacentral:rRNA from 1 species